AGUACUCUUGGGGUAGACAGGCAUGUGCUGGGAUGGCAUGCCAAGGCAUGUGCUGGGAUGGCAUGCCAAGGCAUGUGCUGGGAUGGCAUGCCAAGGACAAGCAUGUGCUGGGAAGGCAUGCCAAGGCCAAGACAAGGCCAAGGCAAGCACAUGCAUCGUGAGCGAGAUGAGACGGUUACAUUUACCCCAAGAGUGCCCAAGCAGGUGGUGUCAAACGCAUACUGAGCCCCACUUCGGUAGUUUGGCACGACAACAUAGACAUUCAGGCAAGCGUGUCUAUGGUUAACGUCUGUUCAGCUUGCCAGCCAUGUUGGGUAUUAUUCUACGGAUGAGAUGAUGGCACAAGGAUGAUUGCUGGUAACGUUUUGGCACCAGACCGCAUUGCUAGUUCAAGCUUCAGCGGGUGGAAAUAUGCCUAUACGGGCGUUGCUUGCUUGUUGUGGAGUUGGGACACGCCCAAUAUCUAUCAUCGACCUAGGUAAUUCCUGCAUGGCCCCAUAGGCAUAUUCACGCAAGCGUGCCUAUGGGUAAAGUCCCUGGAGCUUGCCAACAACCAUGUUAGCUGUAGUCUGUAUCGAUGAUGGCACAAGGAUGCUUGCUUUAAGGUAACAUUCUGGCAGCACAGCCAGCCCGCAAUUGCUAGUUCAAGCGGGUGGAAUCUGCCUAUAGGGGUGUUGCUUGCUUGCUGUGGAUUUGGGACACGCCCAAUAUCUAUCAUCGACCCAACGAAGUGCUCAACAUGGGUUGCUGAGGGCUAUUUUGGCACAGAUGCUUCACUCGUUUGCUUGGCUUUGAUAAAUGUUUAGAUGUCAUGAUGCUUGGGAUCCAAUAAAUUUAUGUGGGAAGCUGAGAGCUGGAACCCAAUGUCAUUCACCAGACGGUUUAGCUUCGUCAGUGUGUAUAAUAUGUCAUUGAACCCCAAUCCUCUAUGCCGACCUGAUUAUGACUUUUGGAUCGCAAUUAUCAUGGCUAUCAAAAACUGAGUAGGAGUCAUGGAAUAAGUGAACAAUUUGUGGCCUUUAUAGCUGUCAGCUUUCGCAUCGCCCGGUGUGUUUUGGGAAUCGCUUUGUGCGUUUGGUUGCCUGCCGUGCCUCUUGGCAUACGGUUGGUGCCACUUGCCGGGUGGUUUUCGGAAACAUCCACCGUAAAGGUGCAUGAGUGGUGUUUGGUUUGUUACGGGUGGUUGGCUCUUUGCUUGCGCAACAACUGCCACCCGACUUACCUCUUCAGUUUUUGCCUAGGCUUGUAUAGCCUAAGCAGAUUGUGGGUUUCCUGUGUUGCCUACCUACGUCACGGAAUUGUCCCGAUCGAUCAAAGUUUCUUUCGUCUUGUGUCGUCUUGAUGGCAUAAGAUGAACCAUGAAGCUGUCUCUUUGCACCGCAUCGUUAAUGCAUGCAUUGAUGUUGUGGCCCAUUGAGCAUUGCUUGGUACCUCGGAUACGGAACCUUAUGUGGGCAUGGGUCCUUAGGGAUCCUUGUUCUGCCCUCGUUUAGCGUUCGCGCUUCUCUUAGAAUGACUGCCCAGCCGGAAUGGGAAGCCAUUCUGGAUGGGCAUCGUCAAAGAGGAAUGC
rnacentral:misc_RNA from 1 species